AACGCUGGCGGCGUGCCUAACACAUGCAAGUCGAACGGAGUUACGAGAGCUUGCUUUGUAACUUAGUGGCGGACGGGUGAGUAAUGUAUGAGCAACCUGCCUUCGAGAGGGGGACAACAGUUGGAAACGACUGCUAAUACCGCAUAAUGUAUUCAGGAGGCAUCUCCCGAAUACCAAAGGAGCAAUCCGCUGAAAGAUGGGCUCAUAUCUGAUUAGCUAGUUGGUGGGGUAACGGCUCACCAAGGCUGCGAUCAGUAGCCGGACUGAGAGGUUGAACGGCCACAUUGGGACUGAGAUACGGCCCAGACUCCUACGGGAGGCAGCAGUGGGGAAUAUUGGGCAAUGGGCGAAAGCCUGAACCCCAGCAACGCCGCGUGAAAGGAAGAAGGUCUUCGGAUUGUAAACUUCUUUUAUGAGGGACGAAGGACGUGACGGUACCUCAUGAAUAAGCCACGGCUAACUACGUGCCAGCAGCCGC
rnacentral:rRNA from 1 species